GACGAACGCUGGCGGCGUGCUUAACACAUGCAAGUCGAACGGACAGGCCCUGCUUUUGUGGGGUGCUCGUGUGGCGAACGGGUGAGUGACACGUGAGUAACCUGCCCUUGACUUUGGGAUAACAUCAGGAAAAUGGGGCUAAUACCGGAUAGGAGCUCCUGCUGCAUGGGGGGGGUUGGAGAGUUUCGGUGGUGGGGGAUGGACUCGCGGCGUAUCAGCUUGAUGGUGGGGUAGUGGCUGACCCAGCCUUUGAGGGGUAGCCGGCCUGAGAGGGUGACCGGCGACACAGGCACUGAGAGGAGGCACAGGUACGUACGGGAGGGAGCAGUGGGGAAUAUUGCAGAAUGGGCGGCGGGCUGAUGCAGCAACUCCGCGUGCGGGAUGACGGUCUUCGGGGUGUAAACCGCUUGCGCCUGUGACGAUGCGUGAGUGACGGUAAUGGGUAAAGAAGCACCGGCUAACUAAGUG
rnacentral:rRNA from 1 species